rnacentral:tRNA from 1 species
GGAUUGUGGCUCAGUGGUAGAGUGCUCGCCUCAUUCAGGCGGGACCUGCAUUCGAUUCUCAGCACCA